rnacentral:piRNA from 1 species
UCGACGAGAACGGUGACCGGUGCUUGA